AAGAAGCACCGGCUAACUCCGUGCCAGCAGCCGCGGUAAUACGGAGGGUGCGAGCGUUAAUCGGAAUUACUGGGCGUAAAGCGCACGCAGGCGGUUUGUUAAGCUAGAUGUGAAAGCCCCGGGCUCAACCUGGGACGGUCAUUUAGAACUGGCAGACUAGAGUCUUGGAGAGGGGAGUGGAAUUCCAGGUGUAGCGGUGAAAUGCGUAGAGAUCUGGAGGAACAUCAGUGGCGAAGGCGACUCCCUGGCCAAAGACUGACGCUCAUGUGCGAAAGUGUGGGUAGCGAACAGGAUUAGAUACCCUGGUAGUCCACACCGUAAACGCUGUCUACUAGCUGUUUGUGGCUUUAAGCCGUGAGUAGCGAAGCUAACGCGAUAAGUAGACCGCCUGG
rnacentral:rRNA from 1 species